CUUUACGAACCUGCCCGGGGUCUUAGGACAGCGGCGGCAGCGGCGAGGGUUCCCAGCAAUCAGAGCUCUGGCGACCCCGCGACCACGGAAGGGGAACCGGAGGGUCUGUCACCCAACUCGGGGCCCCGGCGGUGUGAGUGGCUCUGCCUCUAUCCCUUGCCCAUCCUCGCCGGUUCGCGCUCGCCAGAGCACACGCACUUACACUCCGGGUCGGCCGGCUGCUGCGCCGCCGGCGGCCGCUGCUCUCACUUCCUCUUCCUUCCUCCUGCUGGCCAGAGACACAUUUUGCAUCUGCAAGGCAUCCCGAGAUUAGCCGCGAAAUCUCCUCCCGAGCGGACGCUGCGGAGUGGCCGCCGUCGCCCCCCGCACCUGCGCCCGGACACGCGUAGUUGGCGCGUUCGCCUCCAGCCGGCGCCCUGACGCCGGCCCACUGCACUUUGCCUGGGGGAUGGGGGUGCCCACGACUUUUUGAAGUCCCCCUACUUAAAAAGAAGAAAAUGUCAAACACCGUGCACGCCUCAGUUCUGCUAUAAAUAAUAUGUGUGCAGAGCAUGACUUCUCGGAUGAGCUCACACGCGGCGUUUUGCAGGCACUAACUCCGUCACCCUCACAGCGCCACCUCCGGGAGGCCGAGAGUGCGCGGCAUCUUUUUAUAAGCUUUCAGUUCGGGCAACUGGUUUGGAAUUUUGAGGGGAAACUUCGGUGGGCUGUUUUAAAGCUACCUUAAGAAGCUGAUGUGUUUGACGUUCUGCCUCGACCCUUGGACGGCACGACAAAAAUAACAAGAGAACAUUUCGUCCUCCUCACAGUCACCUGUGCAUUUACCGACCAAGGGAUUUAUUUCUCAUCAGUUAAGCCAAGGACUCCCUAAUUUUGCAUAACUUUGCAUAAAGCAAGACGUUCUACCCCCAAUUUGAUAUUUAUGGUACAUUAUUUGAUUCAUGCAACCUACUUCAGUCCUUUUCAAAGCAGAAAUCAAACACGUUAACUCCGAGUAGCUGCCAGGAGGGAAAUGACAGUUGUUGGAAGGUUGCAGGAGAAACACCUGUCCUCUCCAAAUUCAGAAAUAUCUACGCUGGCUCUACCAGAAAAGGCAAAGACAGUUGCUAUACGUUCCCUGCAAAAUGACAAAGGAGAUACAUCUCACCGUUGAUCCCAGUGCAAGGGGAAGACUGGAAAUUCUUUGCUGUGUUACGAUUAGGCCAUGUCCGGGCUUAUGAGACUCAACUCAUGUCGCUAGUCUUCCAUUGUCUUUGCUCCAGUUUCUCUCCCUACAACCCAGGGGACAUGGGUUCGAGCCCUGGUCUGGGAAGAUCCCACAUGCUGCGGAGCAACUAAGCCUGUGUGCCACAACUACUGAGCCUGUGCUCUAGAGCCCGCUAGCCACAACUACUGAAGCCCAUGUGCCUGGAGCCCAUGCUCUGCAACAGGAGAAGCCACCGCAAUGAGAAGCCCACACACCGCAACGAAGAGUAGCCCCCGCUCGCCGAAACUAGAGAAAGCCCGCGUGCAGCAACAAAGACCCAACGCAGCCAAAAAUAAAAAUAAAAAUAAAAUAAAUAAAUUUAUAAAAAAAAGAAAAAGACAAACAUGAUUGGCACAAAUGUGUUUAUUCCAGCUUAGCUUAUAGCUACAACAAUCAAAAGUUGCAUGAAACUCAAAUGGUCAACAAUAGGGCAAUGCUUUAAUAAGUUACAGUUUAUCCAUCCAUAUAAUGGAGUAUAAACGAUCAUUAAAAUGUCCUGUA